CCUACGGGGUGCAGCAGUGGGGAAUAUUGGACAAUGGGCGAAAGCCUGAUCCAGCCAUGCCGCGUGUGUGAAGAAGGCCUUCGGGUUGUAAAGCACUUUCAGUGGGGAAGAAAGCCUUGGGGCUAAUACCCUCGAGGAAGGACAUCACCCACAGAAGAAGCACCGGCUAACUCCGUGCCAGCAGCCGCGGUAAUACGGAGGGUGCGAGCGUUAAUCGGAAUUACUGGGCGUAAAGCGCGCGUAGGCGGUCUGAUAAGCCGGUUGUGAAAGCCCCGGGCUCAACCUGGGAACGGCAUCCGGAACUGUCAGGCUAGAGUGCAGGAGAGGAAGGUAGAAUUCCCGGUGUAGCGGUGAAAUGCAUAGAGAUCGGGAGGAAUACCAGUGGCGAAGGCGGCCUUCUGGACUGACACUGACGCUGAGGUGCGAAAGCGUGGGUAGCAAACAGGAUUAGAGACCCCUGUAGUC
rnacentral:rRNA from 1 species